rnacentral:rRNA from 1 species
CCUACGGGCGGCAGUAGUGGGGAAUCAUGGUCAAUGGGCGAAAGCCUGAACCUGCGACGCCGCGUGAGUGAUGAAGGUCGUAAGAUCGUAAAACUCUUUUCAGGGAUCUUAAAGCACAACCGUCAACAACGGCUGUGUGUGACUCUCCCUGGAAGAAGCCCCAGCCAACUACGUGACAGCAGCUGCGGUAAUACGUAGGGGGCGAGCGUUAUUCGGAAUUACUGGGUGUUAAGGGUAUGUAGGCGGCCCUUCAAGUCGCGUGUCAAAGUCCGGGGCGCAACGCUGGGUGUGCGCUCGAUACUGACAGGCUUGAGGGCAGGAGAGGUGAGCGGAAUUCCCGGUGUAGUGGUAAAAUACGUAGAGAUCGGGAGGAACACCAGCGGCGCAGGCGGCUCACUAGACAGUUUCUGACGCUAAGAUACGAAAGCGUGGGGAGCAAACA